rnacentral:rRNA from 1 species
AUUGAACGCUAGCGGGAUGCCUAACACAUGCAAGUCGAACGAGUGGCGGACGGGUGAGUAAUGUCUGGGAAACUGCCUGAUGGAGGGGGAUAACUACUGGAAACGGUAGCUAAUACCGCAUACCAUCGGAUGUGCCCAGAUGGGAUUAGCUAGUAGGUGAGGUAACGGCUCACCAAGGCCACGAUGCAUAGCCGACCUGAGAGGACGACCAGCCACACUGGGACUGAGACACGGCCCAGACUCCUACGGGAGGCAGCAGUGGGGAAUGUUGGACAAUGGGGGAAACCCUGAUCCAGCCAUCCCGCGUGUGCGAUGAAGGCCUUCGGGUUGUAAAACACUUUUGGCAGGAAAGCGGUACCUGCAGAAUAAGCACCGGCUAACUACGUGCCAGCAGCCGCGGUAAUAC